AAAUCCCAAAUUAAUGUUUAAAUCAGUGAAUUUCUUUUCAUCUUCUAGGAACGUGCUAUUUCAAACAAUGAAAUGUAAAUGUCCUGUUAUUUGUUUUAAUGCUAAGGAUUUUGUGAGAAUAGUGCUGCAGUUUUUUGGCAAUGAUGGCAGUUGGAAGCAUGUUGCUGAUUUUAUAGGGCUAGAUCCCAGAAUUGCUGCAUGGCUUAUAGAUCCUAGUGAUGCCACACCCUCUUUUGAAGAUUUAGUAGAAAAAUACUGUGAAAAAUCCAUUACAGUUAAAGUGAACAGCACAUAUGGAAAUUCCUCAAGAAAUAUUGUGGUGAGUUGUUUAAGAUAAAGUUUUAUCAACCUUAAUACAUCCUAUUUUUUCUGGAAGCUUUUUCUAUUUUAUUGAUAGCCUAAUAGUAAAAAGAACAUUGUCAACAUUCAUUUUCACUUAUUCAGCACAAAUAGUUGUGACCUUGGCAUUUCUGGUGGAGGAUGUUGAAUAAGGAUAGGUGAUGGCUGUUCUUCUAUGGCACCUGUUCCUAGGAAAUCUGUCCAUAGUGUGACUCUUCCAGAUGACUCUCUGAUGUCAGUGUCACCUGCUCCAUGAACAGAAUGCCACUCAUUGAUAAAUCCUUAGGGCUGGUGACGUGGCCACAGUGCCAGAGGUCCUGGGAUGGCUACUCUUCAGUCUGUGUGGAGAGAAUGGUCAGAACUGCCCUGGGUCUCGGGCUGGGUGCAGCAGCUCAUGCCUGUAAUCACAGCACUUUGGGAGGCUAAGGUGGGCCGAUCACUCGAGGCCAGGAGUUCAAGACCAACCUAGCCAACCUGGUGAAACCCUGUCUCUACUAAAAAUAUAAAAAUUAGCCAAUCAUGGUGGCAGGUGCCUGUAGUUCCAGCUACUCAGGAGGCUGAGGCAGGAGAAUUGCUUGAACCUGGGAGGCAGAGGUUGCAGUAAGCCAAGAUUGUGCCACUGAACUCCAGCCUGAGUGACAGAGUGAGACUCUGUCUC
rnacentral:lncRNA from 10 species